UGCCGGGUGGACGAAAGGCAAAGUCGCAUGGCCCUGACCCAUGAGAUUGCAGGUUCGAGACCUGCCCCGGCAGCCA
rnacentral:tRNA from 2 species